GACGGGGGGGGCAAGUGUUCUUCGGAAUGACUGGGCGUAAAGGGCACGUAGGCGGUGAAUCGGGUUGAAAGUGAAAGUCGCCAAAAAGUGGCGGAAUGCUCUCGAAACCAAUUCACUUGAGUGAGACAGAGGAGAGUGGAAUUUCGUGUGUAGGGGUGAAAUCCGUAAAUAUACGAAGGAACGCCAAAAGCGAAGGCAGCUCUCUGGGUCCCUACCGACACUGGGGUGCGAAAGCAUGGGGAGCGAACAGG
rnacentral:rRNA from 1 species